UUAUUAUAUAAUUUUUUAUUUAAAAACAAAAGCAUGCAUGUUAGGGGACUAAUCUAUAAUGCAUGCAGUUGAAAAUUCCUAAAUGGCAGGAAGUUAAACAAGGGAGUUAAUUUAGAUACUACGUCGAAAAUAUUUAAGCUAGUUUCGUGUGACAGAUUGUACGGAGAUAAUGGAUUUGCACUCGGUGCUGAUAGAUAUUAGAUAUGCCUAUACUGUCAUUAGAUCUUUCAAAAUCCAAAUUUCUUUGAAUAAAAACAUUAUUGUAAAAGAAUUGAAAUCUUGGAGAAUAUGCUACAAUAAAAAUGAUUAUGCAUUUCUUGUGAUCUAUCGUUAUGUACAAUUAAUAAAAAAGAUUAUAUGAGAUAGAUUGAUAUUUUACUGUUUCGCAUGGAUUAUGUAGAUCUUGUGAUCUAUAAAUUGUUCUAUUUAUGGGUUAUAUGUGAUAAUAUCAUAUGCUCCUUUUGAUCUAUUAUAAUAAUUUUUGUUGUAAAUUUCUAGUUGAUUUAAUUUAAGUGUUGGGAUAAAAACAUUUGAGAUUAAACCUCUCAAUUAAUUCCACUGGAUACCACAAAUUCAAACUCAAAAUUUUAAGACUCUAUGAGAUAGAUUGAGAUUUAACUAUUUUUCUGAUCUUGUAAGAAGUCAAGUCAUUAAAGGAAUUAAGCUUUCACAACUAUAAGAAAAAGUAUCUACCAUCAUAGUCCUCUGUAUGAUGGUUUCUGAUUUGGAGGCCUACAACGAUAGAAUCAUGAUAUAUAUUUUUUUUCUAUCAUGCAUUUAUGAAAUAACUGUGAUAGAAAUAUCGUCUAUCAACAAACCAUGAUAUAUUGGUGAUAGAAAUAUCGUCUAUCAAGAUGAUAGACUGGUGAUAGAUUAUUUGGCUAUUAAGAAUGGAAGACUAAUUUUUUAUGUUGACUUUAAUUGUGCAGGUUUGACUUUAUUUUUAAAAAUAUUUUAUUACCAAAAAAAGAAGUGAAACGAUGUCAUUUCUGUUAAUGUAAAUAAAUUUAAAUUAUAAAACAUUGCGUUUUGCAAGUGUUUGAGAAAAAUUAUAAAUGUAAAUAACAAAAAGAAUAAAACGUUGCGUUUAGUAAGGGGGGAAACAUUUUGUGAGAAAGGAGCCAAAUUUUUUCUAAGUGUUCAGAAAAUUUUCAAGCCUCAUUUUGGAAUCUCAAAACACAGUACACUAGCAGCAAACCCUCGAAGGCUAGCCAUAGCAAACUAACGACCUCGAAACAUCUAUCAUUGGGCACAGUUCUCAUUGAUUUCCAUUAUCUUCAUUAUUUUCACUCAAUCGUCUCUCUUUGCUACGGUUGUCACUCAGUCAUCUCUCUUUGCCACAGUGAAGUUAGUGCUAAUCGAAACCCAAAUUGGAAUGAGAACAACAGCAAUGGUACUUUCAUUGACUGAAAGAAACCCAGUCUCUUACUGUGAAAGAAGAUCCAAUUGUUGCGGCUGAAGUUGAAACCCUAACCUUCACUGUCAAUUGAAACUUCACACCCUCUGAUGAGUCAUUGCUGCAUAUGUGUGUAUUUAAUUUUGACUAUUCAUUCUACCUUUAUGUAAAGUAGUAAAUAAUUUCUAAAAAAAAAAAUGAAAUGUAUUUGUAUGUUUUACAUAAAUUUCAAGAAAGAUAUUCUAUAAAAAUAGUUUGACUUGUAAUCAUGCAUUGCAUAAUGUUGUGAAUUUUUAUUUCGUUAGUAAUUUUGUUAUAUGUUCAUGGGUUUGUAUCUGAUUUUUUUUUUAUUCUAGCUAAUUUUGAUAUUGAAGCUUCGUUAAGUUGAGUGAGUGUUAGUGUAUGAAUUUAUAUGAGAUAAUCUGCAACUUAUACAUCUUUAUAUUUUGAUAACUCAUUCUUUAAAUAUUGGCUUGAAUUGUCUAUAACAAAGGCUUAAGAGGGAUUCUUAGCAAAUGAUUCUGCUAUGUAAAAUUGAAGGAUUCUUAACUCUCAUAGUCAUCUACCUAUGCAUGUGGUGUUUUUUUUUCAGCAAUAAGAAGUUGUUUAUGGAAAGGUCAUAUUAACAUGAAAAUUUGGGGAAUCUAUAUAUUUGAUUAGGUGUGUAUUUGAAGUUGUGAUAGCUAUUGUUUUUGUUACAGUUGAGGUAUUGAUUGUUGCUAUUGCAGUUAGGGAAGUUGCUGCCCUUAUUGCAGCUGGUGAAGUUGUUGCUUCUGUUAUUGUAUUUGCGAAUACUGUUGAUGUUGUAGCUAUUUUGCAUCUGCUGGUGGUGUUGUUGUCUUUAGUCGUAACAAUUGCUUGUCAACUAUAAAUAGCUGUGAGUACUGCAUAAACUUGACAAUUCAGUGUUCUUGAUUUGUUAAAGCCAUUGUGUUAAGGUACUUAAAGCUUUUCUUUGUGUUUGCUUUCAUUUUUGUUCCACUAAUGUAUAUUAUUUGAAGUUAUAGUUUAUCAUUUUCUUCCUGGUGAUUACUCAUGCGAUUAAUGUAAUUUCUUGGUACAUUUUUAACCCUCUUGAAUCAAAGUUUUGGAAUCCUACCAACUGAUCAUUCAAAAUAUUUGUCAAUAAUAAAUAUUGUUGUUGGAUUUGCACUUAGAAUCGGAAACAACAGUAGAUUGUGGUGUUUGAUCUGUUAUGUUCCAUUUCUUAUCCCCUAUUAUUUGACUUUUUAUUUGUGAAGUUGUCAUACACUUGCUUAAAAUUUACAUUUCUUUAAAUUUGUAAUUAUAAUUCUAUGUAAUGUGUUUGCUGUGGGCCUUAUCUUAUUGUUAUAUUUAUAUUAUAAUAAGAGAGUGAACUUUUGAAAAGUAUGAAUUUUAGUUUAUUAACUUUAUUGGUUGCUGUAUUUGUAAUUUUUAAAUUUGUUUCUAGGCCAUGACCAUACUUUUCUAUUAUGUUGUUUCUUUAAUAUAAAAGAUAAAACUAUAUAAGCCAAACUGUGUUUAACUUGAACGGCCUCAUGUAGCUUCAAGUUUGUUUAUUUCACAUGGGUGCUGUGACAUUAGAUAAACAUUUCCAGUAUAUUGUGUUCUUUGUUCGUUUUAUGUAUAUGUCAGAAACAUUAAUUGAUAAGCUAGAAAUGGAUAAGUCUCGGAUUCAGUGUAAUUGACUAUUGACAAAAUAUGAAAAUGGUGUUGAGCAAUUUAUAAAUUUUGCCACAAAAAAUGCUGGAGGCAGUAGUGUCAUUAGGUGUCUAUGCCUUGAUUGUGGGAAUUUUUCAUUUGAAACACCUACAACUGUAAAAGAUCAUUUAUAUAUGCAUUGUUUUGAUGUGAAACAUGACAAUUGUUUUUGGCAUAGGGAGAUUCAUAAAAGUCCUCCCCCAAGAGAAAACCAUUUUGAGCCACAAAAUAUAGAGUUUGAUUAUGAUAAUGAGUUAGAAAUGGCUAAUGAUACUUAUAAGGGUUGUUAUGGGGACCUUAAAGCAUUUAAAAAGCUACUAGAACAAGCUAAGAAACCUUUUAUACCUAGGAUGCACAAAAUUUAUUAAGUUAGAUUUUUUAAAAAAACUUAAGCCCUCUGUCAUUCAACUUUUAUCAUCUUUCCAUGGGUUAGAGAGAGAGGAUCCAUAUUUGCACAUUAAGGAAUUUCUUGACAUAUGCUCUACAUUUUGUUUUCAAAAUUUUAAUGAUGAGUCAAUUAGACUUCGUAUGUUCCCUUUCUCAUUAAAAGACAAAGCAAAAGCUUGGUUGAAUUCACUUCCUGCUGGGUCUAUCACUACGUGUGAUGAAUUAAGUAACAAGUUCCUCAUCAAGUUUUUUCCUAUGUCUAAAACAAAUGCCCUUAGGAGAGAGAUAAGUCAUUUUUAUCAAAGAGAGGGUGAGCAAUUUUAUGAGUGUUGGGAAAGAUUUAAAGAUUUAAUGAUUUACUCCUUAAGUGUCCCCACCAUGGUUUUGAGAAAUGGAGACUCAUACAAUGCUUUUAUAAUGGUUUAACCAUGUUGAAUCGUCCAAUGGUAGAGUUUAUGAAUGGUGGGAGAUUUUUGAACUUACAUGAAGAGACUGCAUGAGAUUUCUUUAAUUCACUUUAUGAGAAUUCUCAACAGUGGGAUUUUUCAAAUCAAAGAGAGAAAUCACCUCAAGCUCAUACAAAGGGUCUAUAUGAAGUAAAAGAUGAAUUUGAUGUGAAAGCCACUCUAGCUACUCUUUCUAGGAAAGUAGAUGCCUUAACUCUAAACUAAUCAAUGAAUCACCAUCCUAGUGUAGCUAAUGAGGUUUGUGCUCUUUGUUCUAACUUAUCUCAUACAACACAUAAUUGUCCAUCAUUACCAGCCUAUCUAAAGGCUUAUUCUGAGUAGGUACAUGCCUUACAAUCGUAUUAAAAACCCUUAAAUAGUCUAAAUUCAUCCACAUAUAAUCCUAAUUGGAUGAAUCACCCUAAUUUUUCUUGGAAAAAAAAUCAACUUUUGUCAAACCAAGGAGGGCAACAAUUUAACAUGCCCAAUCAACAAUUUAUACCUCUUAACCAAGUAUACCCCUCUGCCCAAUAACCUAUGCCUCAAUUUGUUGCACCCCAACAAAAAAAACCUUCUUUAGAGGAUACACUUCAAAGUUUCAUUCAGUUAACCAAACAAGCAUUUCAGUCAAAUACUCAAGCUAUUCUAAAGCUUGAACAUCAAUUGGGUUAAUUAGCAACUACUGUGGCUGAGAGAGAAAAAGGAAAAUUCCAAAGUCAACCAGUUCCUAAUCCUAAAGGAGCACACGAAGUUAGGUCAAGUUCAAGCCAUCAGCAUGAAGAAGCAAAGUCUAAUAUGACCUUGAGAAGAGGAAAAUUAUUUGACAACAAGGUGGAGGUUCGAACAAGAAAGACAUCUGAACCUACUUUUACAGAUUCAGUUCCAUCACAAGACUCAUCACCAAAUGAUCAAGAAGAAAGUGGCCCACCAGCUUACAUUCCUAAGGCUCUUUUUCCUCAAAGGUUAACAAAGGUAAAGAAAGGGACUUCAACAGGUGAGAUUAUUAAAAUCUUUAAGCAGGUAAGUCUAAACAUUCCUUUACUUGAUGCUAUUAAACAAGUUUCUUCCUAUGCCAAGUUUUUGAAAGAUUUAUGCACUAAAAAGAGAAAUUUGCAUGUCACCAAAAAGGCAUUUUUAACUUAACAAACUAGCAAUUUACUUCAAUGUAAAAUGCCAUAAAAAUUUAAGUAUCCAGGUUCUCUUACUAUCUCAUGUGUUAUAGGGAACCAAUUGUUUGAUAAAGCAUUAUUGAAUUUAAACGCUAGUGUUAAUCUCUUGCCUUAUUUUGUUUACAUGCAGCUUGGACUAAGUGAAUUAAAAUCAACUUCUAUUAUUUUGCAACUUGCAGAUAGGUCAAUGAAAAGACCUCGUGGUAUUACAGAGGAUGUGUUGAUAUAGAUUGACAAAUUUUAUUAUCCUAUUGAUUUUAUUGUUAUUGAUACUUAGCAUGUACAGGAUCCUAAGAAUCAUAUCCCAGUUAUUCUAAAUUGUCCUUUCUUAGCUACAAUUGAUGCUCAUAUUAGUUGCAGGACUGGAAACAUGCAAUUGUCUUUUGGUAACAUGACCAUGGAAUUAAAUAUUUUUAAUGUUCCCAAGCAUGCACAAGAUGAUGAUGAAGUUGUUGAAGUAGAUAUGAUAGAAGCAUCAAUCCAUUAACACCAUGCGCAACUAACUCUGAUUUCUCUGUUGAUGUUGACAGUGGUAUUAAAGAAGCUAAUGCUUUACUUGAUUCGCCUCUUAUCAUAGAUCUAAUUAAGUGGAAAGAAAAGAUUGAGCUACUUCUUCCUGAAGAGAAAAUUGAACCAUUCAAGUUGGAGCCACUUCUUAAAAAAGUGCAACAUCAGUCACAUUCUGACACAAAAAAAGUGGUAAGAUCUAAAGUGCUUAAAUUGUUAGAUUUUUAUAAUACUUCAGAUAACUCUCAGGUAAGCUUGGAACAGAAGAGAUCAAAGCAGUGCGAUAUUGAGGAGUUUCAUUACCAUCAUCCUUUUAUAGAUAAAAUGCUCCAAUGCUUAGUCAAUUAUGUUUUCUCGUAUUUUCUGUAUAAUUUCUUUGAUUUUCCCCAAAUCUUUAUUGAUCCUGGUUGAUUUGUUGUUCACAUUAAUUAGUUAGUUAGUAGGAUUUUUUUUAUUUUGUUUUUUUCUAAUGUUUUCUUUUUAGUUGUCAUUUUUUUUAAGCUUCCCCAACCCAGUUAGGUGUGUUCUCUCCAACUUUUUCUUUUAUUAUUUAUGUUUUUUUGCAUCUUUUUGCAUGCUUAUCUUUUAUUUAUGAAACAUUGAGGACAAUGUUACGAAUAAGUUUGGGGGUGGGAAUAGUGUGUGCUUUGUUUGUUAUUAAAAAAACAAAAAAAAAUUUCAAAAAUUCAAAAAAAAUUGUGUUGUUUUUUUUUUUGUUUUUAUGUGAAAAGCCAAUGAUAAGAACUUGAUUGACAAUGAAUAUAGUUCUUAGAAAGGGUUGAAUAUUUUCUUCGUUUAUACUUGAUUCUUUUGUUAAUUCCUCUUGAUUGAGAUUCUUUAAACUAUGAGAAUUAAUAUAAGUUCUUUCAUAAUUUUGACAUGAAAUUUGAGAUUGACGUAGCCUGAGUUGAGAAUUUUAGAUAGAGUAAGUGACUCUUUAUCUUAAUUCUUAUCUCCACAAUACAAAAUAAUAUACACAGGCGCCAAAGUCAAAAAUAGCUACCUAUAACCCUUAAGAGUGAAGCUAUCUUUGAGUAAUUUAGGCCUAUGUACCACAAGUAUAUAGAGGAUAAUCUACCAUGAGAAGAAGGCUACCUUAAGGGGUAGAGUGAAAGCUCCUGACUAUGGUUAAAAAAAAAAAGAGAGAGAGAGAAAGAAAAUGAAAAAAGGAAAAAAAAUCAAGUGCAUGUGCUGAAAUGAAAAAAUCAAAAGAAAAUGCACAUAAAGGCCUGUGGAAAAAAAACAUUGGAGAUUAAGAUGAUAAGAUUAGUUUGACUUACUCUUUUCUUUGUUUGAGACGAAGGCUGUUGAUGUUUAAGAUUUUGGGAAUGGAUUUGAUUGAAUUGAUUCACACACACAUUACAAGAAUCAAAAGAGAGAUGGAAUUAACUGUUGAAUUAAAGUUAGAACUUUGCCAAUAUUUGAAAUUUUCUUUGAGCUAUAUAAUUUAUGCAAUUUUUUAGGCUAUUUUUAUGUUUUAUUUAAAGUUUGUCGUUCUUUUUAUUUAUUUUUUUUAAUGAUGUUUGUGGGUAUCAUCACUGAAGCCCUUACGAGAUUAUAACUCGUCCACUAGGGCCGCCUAGGGAUUUAAAGGCUUGUUGCAUACGCUAAUGCAACCGUGAUCACUUGCGAAAGUGGUUUAGUUGGGAUUUUUUUUUUGUUACUUUUAUUUUUUGUUUUUAAGUUUUAGUUUUGCUCGAGGACUAGCAAAAUCUAAAUUUGGGGGUAUUUGAUGAGCAUAAUUUAUAUACAUAUUUUACCAUUUAUUAUAUAUUUGCUAGUUAUUUUUAUUUCUUAUUUUUAAUUAAUUGAAUUGUUUUAUUGAAUAGGAAAUUAAUUUGAGAUUAUGGAUAAAAAGGGCAUAAGAGAGCUCAAUUUCGGAAGCAUUAAAGAUUAAUUGAUUUUUGGAACCAAUUAAACAUACAUGCAUGUGGAAAUCAAGCCAAGGAACCGAACUCAACAAAUUCAUUCAUCAUGCACAUGCGGACAAAGGAGAGAAAUUGAUUUUGCUUUAAAAGGGACCCACACUUGGCUUUCAUAAAUGGAAAAAGGAAUCCUAAUGCAAUUCUAAGUGCCCAGUACGUGUAAGAGAGGCCAAAGCCUUUUGGCUUUAGAAUUUAAAAGGUGGGCUCCAUUUUGAAGAAUAUAUAAGCAAGCUUUUGGCUUUUGGACGAAAAAGGAGGUGGAACGGAAACAAAGGGUAGCCGCAAGACAGAGAGAAGAAAAGGACGAGAGCAGUAACAGUUCGGCUUCCCAUGGCCGACUUUAUUAAUUUUAUUGCUCUAUAUUCAAGUAUGUCUAUCUAAUUUUUUUAUACUGAAAUUAAGGAUGAAAGCCUAUUCAAUGAAAUAAUUUUUUUAUUUAAUUAAUUCCCUACAUGUGUGCUUUAAUGUUUAUGGUUCUUGUUUCACAUGAUUAUUUGCAUAACAUUAAAAUCUUUUCAUCAAUUUUGUCAUGCAUUAAUGAUUGUUAGGAUUAAUACUUGACUAAAUCUAUGCUUGGAUUUAUAAAGUUUAUAUAUGAUUAUUUUUUAUUUUAUGUCUUUCAUUAAAUUAUUUACACAGAGUGCUUAGGAAAAUUUUGACUCUUUAUUAUUUAAUAUGCUUACAUGGGAUGCUUAGAUAUCAUACUAUUAAGCAAAAAAAGAAUCUAUAAAAGAUUAAUUUUAUUUGGGCUUAAUUGUUAUACCCAUAAGAUGAUAUAG
rnacentral:lncRNA from 1 species